rnacentral:rRNA from 1 species
AAUCAACGCUGGCGGCGUGCCUCAGACAUGCAAGUCGAACGAUUAAGACUCUCUUCGGAGAGUGUAUAAAGUGGCGCACGGGUGAGUAACACGUAGGUAAUGUACCUUUGGGUGGGGAAUAACUUAGGGAAACUUAAACUAAUACCGCAUAAUGCAGCGGCUCCUUCGGGAGACAGUUGUUAAAGAUUUAUCGCCUAAAG